rfam:Ktedonobacter racemifer DSM 44963 strain SOSP1-21 Krac_Contig202, whole genome shotgun sequence.
GGAGGUGUGGUGCAGCGUCAGCAUGCGCCGUCUUCGCAAGGCGGAUGGCAGACACCAGGUUCAACUCCUGGUCACCUCCU